ensembl:lncRNA
CCACCCUGCCUAGCCUCACCUAGCCCCACCCCGCCUAGCCUCACCCCGCCUAGCCUCACCUAGCCCCAACCCACCUAGCCCCACCCUGCCUAGCCCCGCCUAGCCUCACCUAGCACCACCCCGCCUAGCCCCUCCAGGCUCAGUCUGCUCUGCACCACAGGCCCCAUCUGUACACUAUGCAACUCUUUGGAUACGUCCCAAAUAGCACCCUUUCCCUAUGUAGUGCACUACUUCUGACCAGCACUACAUAGGGAGUAGGGAGCCAUUCGGAAUAGAACCAAUGUUCACAAUACACAAGAAGAACUUUAUUUAUUGAACAUAGUUUUCUAACUUUAACUCGACUACCUUUCUGUUCAUAUGGAACGAGAAACAAAAUCAUGGAUUUGAGGAUAUUUAAAAAAUAUUUAAGGUUUUAUUUUAUCACUGUUGGUUGCUCACAACUACUACAAUAUUUCUCAUAACGUUUAGAACAAUAAUACAAGUGUAUUUAUUCUGAAAGGAGAUGUGAAGAGGGCUUGCUUUGUGACGAUACCUCAGUGUGUUAAAACUCUUCUCAGUUUACAUUGCAUACAAUACUUCAUCUCCUGGCCUCUUGUGUCCCAAAUGGCACCCUAUUCCUUAUAUAGUGCACUACUUUCACCGGAGCCUUAUCAGCCUUGGUCAAAAGUAGUGCACAACAUAGAGAAUAGGGUGCCAUUUGGGACGCACAACCGGUCUCACAUCAUCUCUGAACCCUCCAUGUAGAAUAACAGCCAUGUUCUCUCUUUAAGGCAGACUAAGGGCUGAGAGAGAGGUGGUAAUAUCACACCACAUCUGUGAUAUAAAGGUCUUUGUUGCUGUUUCUUGGAUGAGACCAUAACGUAGGCUAAUACAAUUCCCCCCCCCCUUGUUACGCCGCUUUCUGUGUUACGAGAUUGUGAAUGGUUUCAUUAAAGGCUGACUCAGCGAGAUGUCGUUGCACAAAGUUAACACCACCCUGCCUAGCCCCACCCUGCCUAGCCCCACCCUGCCUAGCCCCACCUAGUUAACACGUAGUGGAUCCAUUUCCUCCACAACUAGGGAGCACGAGGUUUAACUACUCCGCUGUUUUGGUCCUGUAGUUACCACAUUGUAGCAGCGUGAAGCGCGAGGUUAAACUACUCCGCUGUUUUGGUCCUGUAGCUACCACGUUGUAGAAGCGUGAGGUUAAACUACUCCGCUGUUUUGGUCCUGUAGUUACCACGUUGUAGAAGCGUGAGGUUAAACUACUCUGCUGUUUUGGUCCUGUAGCUACCACGUUGUAGAAGCGUGAGGUUAAACUACUCCGCUGUUUUGGUCCUGUAGCUACCACGUUGUAGAAGCGUGAGGUUAAACUACUCCGCUGUUUUGGUCCUGUAGCUACCACGUUGUAGAAGCGUGAGGUUAAACUACUCCGCUGUUUUGGUCCUGUAGCUACCACGUUGUAGAAGCGUGAGGUUAAACUACUCCGCUGUUUUGGUCCUGUAGCUACCACGUUGUAGCAGCGUGAAGCACGAGGUUAAACUACUCUGCUGUUUUGGUCCUGUAGCUACCACGUUGUAGAAGCGUGAGGUUAAACUACUCCGCUGUUUUGGUCCUGUAGUUACCACGUUGUAGCAGCGUGAAGCACGAGGUUAAACUACUCUGCUGUUUUGGUCCCGUAGCUACCACGUUGUAGCAGCGUGAAGCGUGAGGUUAAACUACUCUGCUGUUUUGGUCCAGUAGCUACCACGUUGUAGCAGCGUGAAGCGCGAGGUUAAACUACUCCGCUGUUUUGGUCCCGUAGCUACCACGUUGUAGCAGCGUGAAGCGUGAGGUUAAACUACUCUGCUGUUUUGGUCCAGUAGCUACCACGUCGUAGCAGCGUGAAGCGCGAGGUUAAACUACUCCGCUGUUUUGGUCCCGUAGCUACCACGUUGUAGCAGCGCGAGGUUAAACUACUCUGCUGUUUUGGUCCCGUAGCUACCACGUUGUAGCAGCGUGAAGCACGAGGUUAAACUACUCUGCUGUUUUGGUCCCGUAGCUACCACGUUGUAGCAGCGUGAGGUUAAACUACUCUGCUGUUUUGGUCCAGUAGCUACCACGUUGUAGCAGCGUGAAGCACGAGGUUAAACUACUCUGCUGUUUUGGUCCCGUAGCUACCACGUUGUAGCAGCGUGAGGAUAAACUACUCCGCUGUUUUGGUCCUGUAGCUACCACGUUGUAGCAGCGUGAGGUUAAACUACUCUGCUGUUUUGGUCCAGUAGCUACCACGUUGUAGCAGCGUGAGGUUAAACUACUCUGCUGUUUUGGUCCAGUAGCUACCACGUUGUAGCAGCGUGAGGUUAAACUACUCCGCUGUUUUGGUCCAGUAGCUACCACGUUGUAGCAGCGUGAAGCGCGAGGUUAAACUACUCUGCUGUUUUGGUCCAGUAGCUACCACGUUGUAGCAGCGUGAAGCGCGAGGUUAAACUACUCUGCUGUUUUGGUCCAGUAGCUACCACGUUGUAGCAGCGUGAAGCGCGAGGUUAAACUACUCUGCUGUUUUGGUCCAGUAGCUACCACGUUGUAGCAGCGUGAAGCGCGAGGUUAAACUACUCCGCUGUUUUGGUCCUGUAGCUACCACGUUGUAGCAGCGUGAAGCACACCCGUGCACAUGCUUUGUGUGAUUGUAUCUCACUUCAUCUUCGUUGCAACGUCAUCUCGAUGAGUCUACUUUUAAUUCCAUUGUAUCGUCAGCGGACGGUCUCCCAGUUGGGUCAGUACUCUGUCAGUACAUGUCUGUAUGGUGCUGUGUUUUAUGUUGGAAUAAUACUUCCAGGAGACUGGACCUUGACAGCGUACUGCAUCUAAGAACUAUCCCUUUGUGAUAUUACUGAAACUUAACCAACUGCCAUAUCUACUUAAAAGUUAUAUAUUUUACAAUUUCAACAGAGCAAAACAUUGUAUUUUCAGAUGUGUCAAAUAAAUUAACUUUUUUUUUUUACAACUUGUACUUCUCAGGUCAUUUAUCAUAUCCAGAGUGUGUAAAAAAAUUGACUUAAUUUGUUUCACAGAAGGGUACAUUUGUUUAUUUAAACAAAUCAUAUUUCAAAGGUGUAAAUGUCUCCCAUAUUAGUCAAUAGAAACAACCAUUUGGCUUAGUUCAUUAAAUGUCAGUAGUUACAGUGCCUUCAGGAAGCAUUCACAACCCUCAACUUUUCACACAUUUUGUUGUUACAGCAUGAAUUGUUUUUUUAUUUACAUUUAGAUUUUAUCACUGGCCAGCACAUAACACCCCAUCAUGUCAAAGUGGAAUUGUUUAUUUUUUGAAAUUAACUAAAAAUUAAAAGCUGAAAUGUCUAGAGUCAAUAAGAAUUCAACCCCUUUAUGGCAAGCCUACCAAGACAGUGGCCAAGUUACAAUUUUAACUUAAAUCUAUGGCAAUACCUGAAAACGGUGGUCUAGCAAUGAUUAACAACCCAUUUGACACAGCUUGAAGAAUUUAGAAAAUAAUGUGCAGAUGUUGCACUAUCCAGGUGUGGAAAGUGCUUAAGACUUACCCAGAAACACUCACACCUGUAAUCACUGUCAAAGGUGCUUCUACAAAAUAGUGACUUGGGUGUGAAAACUCAUGUAAAUUAUAUUAUAUAUAUAUAUAUAUUUCAUUUAAGUAAAUUUGAAAACGUGUUUUCACUUUUAUUAUGGGGUAUUUGUGUCUAGAUGGGUGAGGGGGAAAACAUCUAUAUAAUCCAGGCUAUAACAAACUGUUUUCACUUUUAUUAUGGGGUAUUUGUGUCUAGAUGGGUGAGGGGGAAAACAUCUAUAUAAUCCAGGCUAUAACAACACCUGUGGAAUAAGUCCAUGGGGAGAAAUACUUUCUGAAGACACUAUAACAAACAUAUAAAACAACAUGUAAAGUUUUGGUCCCAGGUUUCAUGAGCUGAAAUAAAAGAUCCCAGAAAUGUUCCAUGUGCACAAAACGUUUCUCAAAUGAUGUGCACAUUAGUUAACAUCCUCGUUAGUGAGCAUUUCUCCUUUUUGCCAAUUUAAUCCAUCCAUCUGACAGGAGUGGCAUAUCAAGAAGCUCAUUAAACAGCAUGAUCAUUACACAGGUGCACCUUGUGUUAAAGGUUUGAGGGAGAGUGCAAUUGGUAUGCUGACUGCAGGAAUGUCCACCAGAGCUUUCAAUGGUUUUUUUCUACCCUAAGCUGCUUUCGUUUUAGAGAAUUUGUCAGUAUGUUGAACCGGCCUCAUAACCGCGGCCCACUUGUAACAACACCGUUCCAGGACCUCCACAUCCGGCUUCUUCACCUGCGGGAUCGUCUGAGGCCCGCCACCCGAACAGCUGAUGAAACUGUAGGUUUGCACAACUGAAUCAUUUCUGCAUAAACUGUCAGAAACCGCCUCGGGGAAGCUCAUCUGCGUGCUCGUCCUCCUCA